ACUAGCGACGCCGCGUGGGGGACGACGGCCUUCGUGUCGUAAACCCCUUUCGCCAGGGAAGAAACUGACGGUACCUGCGAGAAGAAGUCCCGGCCAACUACGUGCCAGCAGCCGCGGUAACACGUAGGGGACGAGCGUUGUCCGGAAUCAUUGGGCGUAAAGCGCGCGUAGGCGGCUCGGAAAGUCGGGUGUGAAACUCCGGAGCUCAACUCCGGAACUGCAUCCGAUACUGUCGGGCUGGAGGUAGGAAGGGGGGAUCGGAAUUCCUGGUGUAGCGGUGAAAUGCGCAGAUAUCAGGAGGAACACCGGUGGCGAAGGCGGAUCCCUGGGCCUUACCUGACGCUGAGGCGCGAGAGCUGGGGGAGCGAACAGGAUUAGAUACCCUGGUAGUCCCAGCUGUAAACGUUGGGUGCUAGGUGUGGGCGGAUAUCGACCCCGUCCGUGCCGGAGCUAACGCAUUAAGCACCCCGCCUGGGGAGUACGGCCGCAAGGCUAAAACUCAAAGGAAUUGACGGGGGCCCGCACAAGCGGCGGAGCAUGCGGCUUAAUUCGAUGCAACGCGAAGAACCUUACCUGGGUUUGACAUGCAGGGUGAAGCCCGUGAAAGCGGGAGCUCUACGGAGCCUGCACAGGUGGUGCAUGGCU
rnacentral:rRNA from 1 species